CUGACAAAAAUUUCAGAAUUAUACUGUAUGGCUAUGAUAGAGGUUUGGGGAAAUUUAUAAGAUUCAAGAUUGAGAUUUAUAGAGAUAUUUAUUUUUUCACUGUAAUGGGAUGAGAUUGGGAUUUAUGAUAGAGCUCCACCCGGAGCGGAUUUCGAUUGCGAACUGACGUUUUUAUGUUAAAAUAAUUAAUUCAUUAUAAUAAAAGGUGCAACAUCGACGGAUUGUAUUCCGGGAAGUUGCAUUGUCUGUACGAUUAGGUACUUACUACUUAAUACAUAUACAUGAGUAAAAUGUAAAAUAAACUUAAUUGUAAUUUCAUUAUUAAAUACCGAAGCAACAUUAAAACCGACCAUGUUAUUAUCUUUCAGUGCCUGAAGUUGAUCCAGUGGUACCCAUUGUUGAAACUUACGAGGUCGAACCAACACUAUUAUGUUCUACUACGGAGACAUUAGAGCAACAGGAAACAAAGCAGAAUGAUACUGAAGCUGAUGUAAUUAUACCAGAUACCGACAACUCUACAAUAUUUGAAAUAGUUGAUGACGACAACUCUCAAAAAGAAAACAAAUGGAAUAAGUGGCAUCCUAAGGCGCUGAAAACCAGAAUACACAACGUUCUGAAACCGGCAGCAUCCAAAGCAAGUGUUGCGUCUAAAUUAGACAAAUUAAGUGAAGCUCGCUUGGAACUUGUUCAGCUUCA